AUUGAACGCUGGCGGCAGGCCUAACACAUGCAAGUCGAGCGGAUGAAGGGAGCUUGCUCCUGGAUUCAGCGGCGGACGGGUGAGUAAUGCCUAGGAAUCUGCCUGGUAGUGGGGGAUAACGUCCUGAAACGGGCGCUAAUACCGCAUACGUCCUGAGGGAGAAAGUGGGGGAUCUUCGGACCUCACGCUAUCAGAUGAGCCUAGGUCGGAUUAGCUAGUUGGUGGGGUAAAGGCCUACCAAGGCGACGAUCCGUAACUGGUCUGAGAGGAUGAUCAGUCACACUGGAACUGAGACACGGUACAGACUCCUACGGGAGGCAGCAGUGGGGAAUAUUGGACAAUGGGCGAAAGCCUGAUCCAGCCAUGCCGCGUGUGUGAAGAAGGUCUUCGGAUUGUAAAGCACUUUAAGUUGGGAGGAAGGGCAGUAAGUUAAUACCUUGCUGUUUUGACGUUACCAACAGAAUAAGCACCGGCUAACUUCGUG
rnacentral:rRNA from 1 species